CCUACGGGAGGCUGCAGUGAGGAAUAUUGGUCAAUGGGCUUACGCCUGAACCAGCCAAGUCGCGUGAGGGAAGACUGCCCUAUGGGUUGUAAACCUCUUUUGUCAGGGAGCAACGCCGGCUACGUGUAGCCGGACUGAGAGUCCCUGCAGACAAAGCAUCGGCUAACUCCGUGCCAGCAGCCGCGGUAAUACGGAGGAUGCGAGCGUUAUCCGGAUUUAUUGGGUUUAAAUGGUGCGUAGGCGGAAUGCCAAGUCAGCGGUAAACGCGCGGGGCUCAACCUCGCUCCGCCGUUGAUACUGGCGUGCGUGAGGGGGCGAGAAGUAUGCGGAAUGCGUGGUGUAGCGGUGAAAGGCAUAGAUAUCACGCAGAACUCCGAUUGCGAAGGCAGCAUACCGGCGCCCAACUGACGCUGAAGCACGAAAGCGUGGGUAUCGAACAGGAUUAGAUACCCGAGUAGUC
rnacentral:rRNA from 1 species